GACAGAGGUGCCAAGCGUUAGGCGGAAUCACUGGGCUUAAAGCGUGUGUAGGCGGGUGCCUAAGUACCUUGUGAAAUCCCACGGCUCAACCGUGGAACUGCUGGGUAUACUGGGUGCCUUGGGUCAUCUAGGGGCUGCCGGAACAAAUGGUGGAGCGGUGAAAUGCGUAGAUAUCAUUUGGAACGCCAACGGAGAAAUCAGGUAGCUGGGGGUGUGCUGACGCUGGAGACACGAAAGCCAGGGAGCGAACGGG
rnacentral:rRNA from 1 species